rnacentral:rRNA from 1 species
AUGCCGCCGAUCCGAGACGAGCCGCCGCCGCCGAGGAACGAGACGAGCUGCCGGCGCCGAGGAACGAGACGAGCUAGGGUUCCAUACGCCGCCGCCGUCCCAACCACGAACGCCGACGCCGGCUGUAGCCGUCACGCCGCCAGCCAUCCAUGCCUCGUAGCCGUCGCAGCCGGUGCUUCCCCACCGAACGAGCGCCAAGGAGAAACACCGCUGUCUUUCUACAUGGUGGCCUCUCCCCUCGAUCCCCUCCAUCGCCUCCGCCGCCGCCGAGAGCAAGAGGGGUCAUCGAGGAUGGGUGCCGUCGUGAGGUUGCUGGUGCCCGUGUGCGGUGAUGGCAUUGUGGCGGAAGAAGGUCUUCUUCCUGGGGAGCCGCUACCAGCCUCCGUCUCCACCCGCGGCCACACUAAAAAGACAGAUCUCAAUACUUGCUUGCUAAUGUGCAUGUGUGGAUGUUGCUGGUUGCUGCUGCUGUGCACGUCUGCUUGGUGUGCCCCUGCUGUUUUGUGUUCUCACCACCACAUCCACGACAAAUAA